UCGAGCGAGACCUUCGGGUCUAGCGGCGGACGGGUGAUUAACGCGUGGGAACGUGCCCUUCUCUACCGAGUACCCCCGGGAAACUGGGAGUAAUACCGUAGACGCCCUUUGGGGGAAAGAUUUAUCGCAGAAGGAUCGGCCCGCGUUGGAAUAUUCAGUUGGUGGGGUAAUGGCCCACUAUCCCCUUGAUGGUGAGGUAGUUUGACAGGAUGAUCAUCCACACUGGGACUGAUGACAGGGUGAACUCCCACGGGAGGACUGAGUGGGGAAUCUUCUCCUUGGGGGCAACCCUGAUCUAAAUAUGCCGCGUGAGUGAUGAAGGCCUUAGGGUUGUAAAGCUCUUUCAGCUGGGCCUUCAUGUUGGUACCUCUUUUAGAAGCCCCGGCUAACUCCUUGCCGUCCCCCGCGGUAAUACGGAGGGGGCUUACGUUGUUCCGACUUACUGGGCGUAAAGGGCACAUACGUUGACUGGAAUUACAGAGGUGAAAUCCCUCGGAUGAACCUUGGAACUGCCGUUGAGACUUUCAGACGGGAGUUCUCCAGACGGGAGUGGAAUUCCGAGUGUAAAAGUGAGGUUCGUAAGUUUUCAGAUGAAGACCUAUCGCUAAAGCGCCUCAAUGGCUCGAUGAUGACCCUGAGGUGCGGAAGAGUGGUGAGCAGACACGAUUACAUACCCUGGUAGUGCCUGGCCGAUAACGAUGAUUACAUGACGUCGGCGAGCAUGCCUUGUCAGUGUCACAACUAACUGAUGUAGUCAAUUCCGCCUGGAUUA
rnacentral:rRNA from 1 species